rnacentral:rRNA from 1 species
AUUGAACGCUGGCGGCAGGCCUAACACAUGCAAGUCGAACGAGCUGCGGACGGGUGAGUAAUGUCUGGGAAACCGCCUGCUGGAUGGGGAUAACUACUGGAAACGGUAGCUAAUACCGCAUUCCAUCGGUUGUGCCCAGUAGGGAUUAGCGAGUUGGUGUGGUAAAGGCUCACCUAGGCGACGAUCCCUAGCCGGUCUGAGAGGAUGACCAGCCACACUGGAACUGAGACACGGUCCAGACUCCUACGGGAGGCAGCAGUAGGGAAUAUUGCACAAUGGGCGAAAGCCUGAUGCAGCAAUGCCGCGUGUGUGAAGAAGGCCUUCGGAUUGUAAAGUACUUUUGGCAGAGAAGCGGUACCCGCCGAGAAAGCCACGGCUAACUCCGUGCCAGCAGCCGCGGUAAUAC